rnacentral:rRNA from 1 species
AAGGCUUACACAUGCAAGUCGAGGGGUAACAGAUCUUCGGAUGCUGACGACCGGCGAACGGGUGAGUAACACGUAUGCAACUUACCCAUAACUCGGGAAUAGCCCAAAGAAAUUUGGAUUAAUACCCAAUAAUACAGGCGUACCGCAUGGUAUUCUUCGUUAAAGAAUAAUCGGUUAUGGAUAGGCAUGCGUUCUAUUAGGUAGUUGGUGAGGUAACGGCUCACCAAGCCGACGAUGGAUAGGGGAACUGAGAGGUUGUCCCCCCACACUGGUACUGAGACACGGACCAGACUCCUACGGGAGGCAGCAGUGAGGAAUAUUGGUCAAUGGACGAAAGUCUGAACCAGCCAAAUCGCGUGAAGGAAGAAGGUAUUAUGUAUCGUAAACUUCUUUUGUAAGAGAGUAAAGUGCACUACGUGUAGUGUAUUGCAAGUACCUUACGAAUAAGCAUCGGCUAAUUCCGUGCCAGCAGCCGCGGUAAUACGGAAGAUGCAAGUGUUAUCCGGAUUUAUUGGGUUUAAAGGGUGCGUAGGUGGUCUAAUAAGUCAGUGGUGAAAUCUCUUUGCUUAACAAGGAAAUUGCCAUUGAAACUGUUAGACUUGAGAAUGGACGAGGUAGGCGGAAUUCGUAGUGUAGCGGUGAAAUGCAUAGAUAUUACGAAGAACUCCAAUAGUGUAGACUGCUUACCAGACCAUAUCUGACACUAAGGCACGAAAGUGUGGGUAUCAAACAGGAUUAGAUACCCUGGUAGUCCACACAGUAAACGAUGAAUACUAACUGUUUGCGAUAUACAGCAGGGUCGACGAACGUAAUAUCAAUGGAUACCCCUGGGAGUAUGCCGGCAACGGUGAACUCAAGGAAUUGACGGGGGUUCGCACAGUGGAGGACAUGUGGUUUAAUUCAUAAUCGCGCGAGAUGUACCGGCUCGACG